rnacentral:rRNA from 1 species
UGGGGAAUAUUGGACAAUGGGCGCAAGCCUGAUCCAGCCAUGCCGCGUGAGUGAUGAAGGCCUUAGGGUUGUAAAGCUCUUUUGUCCGGGAAGAUAAUGACUGUACCGGAAGAAUAAGCCCCGGCUAACUUCGUGCCAGCAGCCGCGGUAAUACGAAGGGGGCUAGCGUUGCUCGGAAUCACUGGGCGUAAAGGGCGCGUAGGCGGACUUUUAAGUCGGAGGUGAAAGCCCAGGGCUCAACCCUGGAAUUGCCUUCGAUACUGGGAGUCUUGAGUUCGGAAGAGGUUGGUGGAACUGCGAGUGUAGAGGUGAAAUUCGUAGAUAUUCGCAAGAACACCGGUGGCGAAGGCGGCCAACUGGUCCGAAACUGACGCUGAGGCGCGAAGGCGUGGGGAGCAAACAGG